UGGCCGACAUUAUGACAAUUGUGCGCGCGAGUGACGCUUUGUUAUUUUUUCAAGUUGUUUCGAUUAAAGUAAAAUAAAUAAUAAAGUAAAUACAUUGAAAAUAUUUUCAGGAAUGCCAAACACAAUGUCAGUAAUAAAGUAAAGUCACGGAAAAUUUAUUUCACAGCGAAAAUCAUUACUGACAGUCGUUGAUGCAACAAGUGACUGAAAACACUGGUAAACAAAUCGUCACGUUAAACAUGCAUAUUUUUAGAGUAGACGUGUGUUUUCCACUGUUAUUCCAAAUAUUAAAACGAUGAAACCAUACUCUUUCAAACAAACGUGUUAAUAUGUUAUGAAAAAAAAAGAAUUUAAUUAACCAGUGCAAGUGACAUUAAUGAAAGUAAAGUUUUUCGAUAAAAAAAUUAUUUCUCAAUAAUGAGUUAACUGCAAUAGAGCAAAUUUCGAUAAUCCAUGAUGUGAUUUUCUUAAGAAAAGCGGAUAAAUUAGCGUGAAUUUACCUACGUAAUGAGAUUGACGAGAAAGUAGGUUAUAGAUGCUGGUACAAUACAAGCUGAGAGCAAGGAAUCAGAGGCAACAAGGUCAUCUAAUUAAUGUGGUACACAGGGUCUUAGGAAUCUGGAGGAUCUCAAACAUAAAUCUCAGAUCGAAUUACGUAUUCCCAAAGCAUUCAUCUGCCUUCUACAGACAUCAAUUUUGGAGGAACGCCUGGAGGAAACCUGUCAACGCCAGCAGCCAGACAAAUGCUAGCAAGUUUUCUGACGCGGGUAAUAAAGCGUUGAUAACCAUCAAGAAAACUCAACGACCAUCGAAUAAAGUGCUAGAGGCUACAAAGACAUGAUAUUUGUAGAAAGGGGAUUUUUACCCUAUGAUAUCAUCAUGGAUUCAUGAAGAGUUUGAUUGGCAUCACAACACCUUAUCAAUGUUACACAAACGAUUAUGUCAAUGAUGAUGUCUAUUCAUAAAAAAAUAACAUCGCAUGGAGAUAUGCUAAGAUCCCACGAAAUCGUUUCACCAUCUUGGACAAGAUUGAUUUUUCCUACAUGUCUAUUGGUCGAUUUUGUAACAGCAGAUCGUCGUUGUGCGCAGACAGUCGACAGAAAAAAAAAUAUCAAGGGCUAAUCCUUGGCAAAGGCCGGCAGACUUUAAAGGAUGAAAUAUAGGAGAAGGAAGAUGACGAAUAGAUGAUAACACAGUUGUGAGGAGGAGCUUUUGGCAUCACAAGAGACAGGUGAAAAUGAUUAACAAGGCCGACGUGACGAUCCACUAGGUAAAAGGGAUGAACAAGUGCUGGAAAAGUAGGCGAGGCCACUUCGGGAAGGUGUCAUUGGGAAACCAAAGAGCUUGAUACUUCUUUUUUAAAGCUACUGCAAUCGGCUUCUUAUCAUUCAGCUGAGUGAGAUGGCACGAAUUUCCCUGUCGGUACUUUUGAGGAAAUGGCUUAUGCAUGUAUCCUACAGCUCUACAAGUUUCCAUACAUUCAUUGCUUUAGGCUAAAGAGGCUUCAAACUUUUAUAUAGAAAAAAGAAAUGCACUGAUAUGUUCAUAGUUCGAAAAUAUCAAUACAUACCGCAAAAAGUUGAAAGAGUUAUUUAUUUUUAUUCAGGGAAAUCUAUCGUGCAGCAGACAGAGUCUACAACUGUAACAAAAGGAAAAUUUGUUUCAACUAAAAAACAUCGAUGCAUCUACAAUAAUAUAGGAAGAGACUCCUGUAGUAGCAGAGUCUUGAUCUGUAGCAGUAGGUGGAGAACAGAGAAAUAAUUACAAAGCUGACAAAAAAUAAAAUAAAGUACUGCAAAAAAUUAAUUUGAAGCGGAAAAUACAAAGGGAAAAAUAAUAUCGAAAGUCCAAAGAAGAUGAGAGGAAGGUGAUGACGGAAUUGAAAAUCAUGAAUGAAAAAAAAAAGAAAACUACAAAAAAAAAUUGACAAACAAAAAUUGAGAAUUUAGACGACGCAACAAGAAAGAGUAAAAGGUGGAAGAGAUGGUAGAAAAAAAAUGAGGAUAGCUGGAAAAAAAUGAGUGCGUGUGUAGCAAAGUAGAGAAUAGAAAAAGGUGAUAGAGGGAACAUGGGAGAAUAUUACGGGAGAAAAAUCAGUGGGUAUGCUGAGAAACAAUAGAAAUGGGAAAUGGGCUUUCGUGUGAUAUGUUGGACGACGGACGAACGCUACACUAGUUUCAUAGAACAACAAAAACAGGGGUGAAAGGAUAUACAGUGUGAAAGUAACAAACUAAACGUUGCAGGGAAAAAGAGAGAAGGUAAUAUACGUAACCCAUGUAGAAUAUUAGUGCAAACAAGAAAAUAAAUAUAUCGUUUUUUCUUCUUUUUUUUUAUAUACUCAAUGCAGUUAGAUACAAAAAUUCAAUUACAGAACGUUGAAAGUAUGACAGACAAACGUUAUUAGACUGUCAUGUCGACGUUAGCUUUCCAUUUAUGUCGUGUGCUAGAUUUUCGUCGAGUGAGAGAGUAAUUGAUUAAAAAAAAAUGAUAAAGAAAGAAAAGAAAAGUAACUGGUAGAAAAAGAUCCCAUUGAAACAAAUCAAUUAAAAAGAUAACUUAUCUAAUUAGAUUGGAAAAUAUUUAUGAUUUACUGUACUGAUAAAAAUAUAUAUGAGAGAAGUUAUGGAAAAUGGAGUAUUUCUGGCGCAUUGUGUGCAAGUAAAAUGGAAUGCAAUGUCAGGGUGAAAAUACUACCGUUAGGUUAGUUGCAUGCCCAAGGGGUGUAAUUAAAGGAAACUGCCAUGGGCGGAAUUAAUAAUGAAAAGCGUAAGGUGGGUUCCAAACAAAGUUUCCACGACGAAGUAGAAAAGGACAUAGACCAACCGAGCCAUAGCCUAAUCAAGAAGCUCUUGCACCAUUUCGCGGUUAUACAUAUAACUACCAACCAUUUCUCUCUUAAUUAGAUUCACAAGCAAGAGCUGUUUCAACUAUAUGUUGAUGGCAUAAUGGUUCUACAAAUGCUUAAAUUUUACUUUUCAAUGAACACAUUACUCACGCUUAAUAAAUUCUAUUAGACAGAU
rnacentral:lncRNA from 1 species